GGACUACCGGGGUAUCUAAUCCUGUUUGCUCCCCACGCUUUCGUGUCUCAACGUCAGGUAUGGACCAAGAAGCUGCCUUCGCCAUUGGUGUUCCUCUCGAGAUCUACGCAUUUUACCGCUACUCCGAGAAUUCCACUUCUCUCUUCCAACCUCUAGCACAUUAGUUUCUACCGCAUGCCUCCGGUUAGGCCGGAGAAUUAAACAGUUGACUUGAUAUGCCGUCUACACACCCUUUACGCCCAAUGAUUCCGAAUAACGCUUGCACCACUCGUAUUACCGCGGCUGCUGGCAC
rnacentral:rRNA from 1 species